CUAGGUGUUUUGGCUGUCAUUAUCUACUUGUUGCCAAGUCGGCAAUUACUUGUGGAUCAUAUUUUACUUCAGUCACGUAUGUGGAGCAUUGGUGUGAAGAGCACUUUAAAGGUGUGACAGUUGGAGGCCCAAAUUUCUCUCAUAAUGAAAUGUUGCCAGGUCAUAUUGAGAUACUUGUCUCCGCCGUCACAAGAAUUAAUGAACCAGAUAGCUUAUAUGGAAUUCUUCAAUCUCACAAGCAUUGACAGUCUUAAAUCGUGAUCUUGGAAUUUUCUCGGCUUUCAAAUUUUCAGUGUCAAAGCAACUAUUAAUAGGUAUAAGAAAUCAUGUUCAGAUUCAUCUGGUGCUGGAUCUGCUUCCGAGAUUAAUGCUCAGUAUUACCAGCAAAAAGUAGAAAAAUUGUGUGCCCAAAUUAGUAACCUGCAGAAUAACAAAUUUUGAAAGCUAUUGGGAGUUUGAGACAGAUAUUUCAGCAUUUCAAUCAAAAAUACAAAGAUUCAAUAAAUUUCGGUCUAGAUCCAUCAAACUUGCCUCCAUGAAGCAAAGAAGCAGUGUUAAGGAUGAUGUUGAAUUGAAGAAUUAGAAUAUGUAAAUUUCGGUCUAGAUUCAGCAAACUUGACUCCUACAUGUCUCUUUUUAUAUUUCUUGAUUUGGUUACAGAAUUACAAUGCAAACAUUAAUAUUUUAAUUUGUUUAUGACUUGUUUGUUUAUAGUACUUUUUUUUAGUUCGAUAAUACGAUAAAUUUGUUUA